CUAAAAUUGAUGUGGUGAAGGAGUACUGCAGGAGUAUCAAGAAAUAGAAACUAAUAGAUGCCACAAGAAGACAAAUGAUCAACAUACUGGUGGCUCACAUGAUUGAUACACAUGGGCAACUCCCUACUAAAGCUAUCAGAGAACCGUAUGCUCUUGGCAUAGUGAUACUGUUCCCUCAAAGAUCCAUAUUCCAAGAAAGGCUUUGAACACUUUUAUGAUGAUGCAAGCAACAUAGGAUACAUUGCUUGGUAUAUGAAAACAGUCCACAGGAAGAUUAGACGAGGAUCUUUGCCA